GGAACGUUAUACUCAGCUGAGGUUCUAUCUAACUGCUCAGUGUAGACAUGAUUCCUAUCCUGGGGUUACUGUGCUUGGUGCACUGUGUACAAUAUGUCACAACACAAAUCUCAAUGAUGGAGUCUGGUCCUGGGACUGUGAAGCCAUCAGGGACUCUGGAAAUGACCUGUAAAGUGACCGGAGCCUCCCUCACUGACAGCACUAACAUGGAUGGUGUGCACUGGAUCCGACAAUGUGAAGGGAAACAGAUGGAGUGGUUGGCAGUAAUAUGGCAUGAUGCCAACACAGUGUAUGCCAGCACUCUUCAGGGACGACUGAUUCUGACCAGAGACACAAAUAAAAGAGAAGUGUUUUUAAAACUCACUGGAAUAAAACCUGAAGAAUCCGCAACAUAUUAUUGUGCAAGGAAUCCAUGCACAGUGUGUCAGAUAAAUUAG